rnacentral:rRNA from 1 species
UACGUAGGGGGCUAGCGUUGUCCGGAAUCAUUGGGCGUAAAGAGCGCGUAGGCGGCCAGAUAAGUCCGGUGUGAAAGUCAAAGGCUCAACCUUUGAAUGCCGCUGGAAACUGUCUGGCUAGAGUCCGGGAGGGGCGAGUGGAAUUCCUGGUGUAGCGGUGAAAUGCGUAGAUAUUGGGAGGAACACCAGUGGCGAAGGCGGCUCGCUGGACCGGAACUGACGCUGAGACGCGAAAAGCGUGGGGAGCGAACAGG